GGCCGUGUAGCGUAAUGGUUAACGCGCUAGUUUCCGGUGAGCAUCUCCCAGACCAGACAGCUAGAGAUUGUGGGUUCGAGUCCCACCAUGGUCG